rnacentral:lncRNA from 1 species
CUGCCAAGUAUGAUUUAACAUAUGAUGUGGUAGACAGUGAGAUUACAAUCACUCUACAGAGCAUGACUUUGCAGUUAGAUCAAAUUAUUCCUUAAAUUAAUUGUACUCACUUUUAAAAUUAAGUAUUUUUGAACCUGUACCAAGUGUAAAACUAUAAUUAUUAAUAUGUUGGUUUUACUAGCAGAAGAAAUUCAUAAAGAGUUAAAUAAUUUCAGUUUCAUUAAAAAAUCCUAAAAAUAGGAAGUCAGAUUAAUUUCAAUAAUAAAUUUUUGUUUUUCCAUUUUAUGGAAUCAAAGUAAACCUAAUUGAAUGUUAAAAUGAAUUGAAAAUUCAAUUAAAAGUUCAAUAUCAAAGAUCAAAUUAUGUGUUUGUGAUGUAAUGUAAAUACAAAAUUAAGAAAUCUAUGGAACAGACUGUCCUUGGAAUUUCUUGUGAGAUAAACAAAAUUAACAAUAAAAUUCAGAGAAGCUGAAAUAAUCUGCCAAUCAAAAUAAAAUCCGUCAUUGUCAAAACAUACAGAUAUACAUAUAAACAUCUUAAGUAACUAAAUUACAAAAUUUUUGACAAAGCUAAUGUUGAAUAUUUUUAUAAUCAGUGUGUGUGUGUGUGUGUGUGUGUGUGUGUGUCUACAUUCUUUGUUCUUCUCUGAUCAGAUUUUAGAAAUUUUUGAUUUAUUCAGAACUAUUCUGCACAUCAAUCUAAGUGCCCUGCAAUGCCAUUAAACUUUUUGUAAACAGGUCUCUAAAUUUGCUCAUAUUUUAUUCAGAAUUGGUUGGGAAUCUUUAAUCAAGGUAGCAAGUGGAGUGCGCCCUCUGCCCAAAAAUAAACAACAAAAAACCCUGCAGCUUUUGAAGCUCUUAACAAGUUAAAAUUAUUAAGAGUAUCUUCUGCCA